GAGGCGGCGAGGCGCGGCCCCCGCUGUCCCUGGUGUAGAGAAGUCGCCGUAGCCGCCGCGGCCGGGACUCCCCGGGCUCUCGCCCCUCGGGUCUCAUUGACACUCAGGACCCUACGUACGCUGCGCCAUGUUCAAGAAACUGAAGCAAAAGAUCAGCGAGGAGCAGCAGCAGCUCCAGCAGGCGCUGGCUCCUGCUCAGGCUUCCUCCAAUUCUUCAACACCAACAAGAACGAGGAGCAGGACAUCUUCAUUUACAGAGCAACUUGAUGAAGGUACACCCAAUAGAGAGUCAGGUGACACACAGUCUUUUGCACAGAAGCUCCAGCUCCGGGUGCCCUCCGUGGAGUCUUUGUUUCGAAGUCCGAUAAAGGAAUCUCUAUUCCGGUCUUCUUCUAAAGAGUCUUUGGUACGAACAUCUUCCAGAGAAUCCUUAAAUAGACUUGACCUGGACAGUUCUACUGCCAGUUUUGAUCCACCCUCCGAUAUGGAUAGCGAGGCUGAAGACUUGGUAGGGAAUUCAGACAGUCUCAACAAAGAACAGUUGAUUCAGCGGUUGCGAAGAAUGGAGCGAAGCUUAAGUAGCUACAGAGGAAAAUAUUCUGAGGGUAUAUUAAGUCAGAGUCAGGAUAAAUCACUUCGGAGAAUUGCAGAAUUAAGAGAGGAGCUCCAAAUGGACCAGCAGGCAAAGAAACAUCUCCAAGAGGAGUUUGAUGCCUCUUUAGAGGAGAAAGAUCAGUAUAUCAGUGUUCUCCAAACUCAG
rnacentral:sRNA from 1 species